UGGAGACUUCAGAAGGAGCAUGUGACAGCAGGCUCUGGGCAGAAACUGGAGUUGGAGCAGCCGAGCUGGAAAACACAGUCAGAGACAGAGGGGAUCAAACAUCAAAAUGGAUGACUUUGCAGAUGGCGGAGUGUUGGAUAUCACAGACAAUUACAUGCAUAUGUACAGCAAUUACAGGCACAGCAGAGCUCAUAAAUACAGAUCCCCAGUCAAAACUCUGGAGUAUACUGGACUAUGACAGAUGAGGCACUGCCAGCCAUUUACCUCACCGCACGUAACUGAUAGCUACGCAGACUGGACACAGCAGCACAGUGGAUGGCUGAUUGUUUCCUGAGUCAACUGAAAACCAGCCGCUCAGAAAAAAAAAUAAAAAAAAUUUGACCUUCCCAAAAUGGCCGCUGCUCCUCCCCCUUCCACCUCCAUGAGGGUCACACAAAAUGGUGGACAGACCAUGCGGCCUCUUGUCACAAAGAAAGUCAUCAUUCAAAACUCCUAAAGUUAUUCUAGGCCUGAGUGUGUAGUUGGCACCAAAUUGAAAUA